rnacentral:rRNA from 1 species
GACGAACGCUGGCGGCGUGCUUAACACAUGCAAGUCGAACGGAAAGGCCCUGCUUUUGUGGGGUUCUCGAGUGGCGAACGGGUGAGUAACACGUGAGUAACCUGCCCUUGACUUUGGGAUAACUUCAGGAAACUGGGGUUAAUACAGGAUAGGAUCUCCUGCUGCAUGGUGGGGGUUGGAAAGUUUCGGCGGGUGUGGAUGGACUCGCGGCUUAUGAGCUUGUUGGUGGGGUAGUGGCUUACCAAGGCUUUGACGGGUCGCCGGCCUGAGAGGGUGACCGGCCACAUUGGGACUGAGAUACGGCCCAGACUCCUACGGGAGGCAGCAGUGGGGAAUAUUGCACAAUGGGAGGAAGCCUGAUGCAGAAACGCCGCGUGCGGGAUGACGGCCUGCGGGUUGUAAACAGCUGUCGCCUGUGACGAAGCGGGAGUGACGGUAAUGGGAAAAGAAGCACCGGCUAACUACGUG